UCCUAACUUACCUGCUCCUUGUUUUACAGCAUAAAAAUCAAUGCCUUUUCAUUUCCAAAUACUUCAUUAGCCUUUGUGCCCGGAGUGGGAAUCAAAGCGCUGACCAACCAUGGCACUGCCAACAUCAGCACGAAUUGGGAAAUCAAGUCUCCACUCUUCCAAGAUGCGGGAGGAGCUGAUCUCUUUCUCUCGGCGAUCUACUUUACUGGUAUUGUUAUCCUGACCCGAGAUGUCUCUGGUCAUCCAACCCUGAAGCUCCAGGACUGCUAUGCCCAAGUGAGCCACGCCCACGUCUCAUUUUCUGGAGAGCUCAGUGUCCUAUACAACUCCUUUGCUGAGCCCAUGGAAAAACCUAUUUUAAAGAACAUAAAUGAAAUGGUAAGUCC